UAUCUCACACAAUGAAAUGAAAUGUAAUCCGAACCUAACCUAAAUCAAAAUGGAUUGUUCGCAAUAUUGGGUGUCCCAUCUAAAUUGAUCCAGCCGAAUAUUUCCGAAACUAUUGAUGAUACGGAAUAAUGUUUCAGACGAAAGUUUGUUGAUUUGGGUUAUGUUUAGGUUAGAUUAAGGAACAUAUAAAAGAAAAAAAAUGAUCGAAUUUUCAAAGAUCUUCAAAAUUCUCGAAAAUAUUCGAGAAUUGGGACCAUACUUUUGAGUUCCCGUCUCGACUCGAACAUCGGAAUCCGGCACUCCACUAAUAAUAUCUGAAUCCGUGAGAAAUGGUUUAACCGAUCACUUUCUGUCAGAGCAAGUGCCUAUUCUAUGCAAUGUUUAAUGCACCUUCAUCAUUGAUCUCUACAUGUACCAGAAUCUCUGUUUCCGUGGACUUUGUUAAUACGAAAUAUUUUUUAUCUUUCAAAUACUUUUAUCUAGAUGGUAAU